AGUACGUGAAACUGCUUAGAGGUUAAACCCGAUGAACCUGAAUAUCCAUUAUGGAAAAUCAAUACUAAUUUAACAAUAUAUAUCAUAUUGUGAAAAUGGUGUGCAAUUUUUCCAUAUAAGGACAUUGUAAUCUGUUAAUGAAAUAAAUAUUUAUCAAAAGAUUCUUUACUUAAGUUUAUUUAAAUUGUUUAUUUUCGGAUAUUCAACAUAAAAUAAAUGUAUUGAAUUGGAUAAAUCAUUGACAGAUAUAAUUAUAUAAUGUGCUCAAAUUCUACGGAAUUUUGCAAUAUUAAAUAAAUCUAUUGAUUUGUUUAUUUAUUUGUUUGCACUAUUAUGAUUAACAAUGCGAUAGAUUCAGGAUACCUUCGGGACCCGUCUUGAAACACGGACCAAGGAGUCUAACAUAUGUGCAAGUCAUUGGGUAUUUUUAAUAAAACCCAAUGGCAUAAUUAACUUAACUUAUAUUAAUGGGAUUAAUUUAUAAUUUAUUAUGAAUUAUUUAUUCAAUCCCGGGGCGUUCUAUACAGUUAUGUAUAAUAAUAUUUAUAUUAUUUAUACCUCUAACUAGAGCGUACCUUGAGC
rnacentral:rRNA from 1 species